rnacentral:misc_RNA from 1 species
GAAAUGCGAUAAGUAGUGUGAAUUGCAGAAUUCAGUGAAUCAUCGAAUCUUUGAACGCACAUUGCGCCCUUUGGUAUUCCUUAGGGCAUGCCUGUUCGAGCGUCAUCUAAACCUUCAAGCCCUGCUUGGUGUUGGGUGCCUGUCCCGCCUCCGCGCGCGGACUCACCUCAAAUCCAUUGGCGGCCCCCGCGUCGGCCACGAGCGCAGCAGAAACGCGAACUCGUGAGCCCGUCCGGGCGGCUCCCAGAAGCUACACCCACCCAGUUUGACCUCGGAUCAGGUAGGGAUACCCGCUGAACUUAAGC